CCUGCUUUCUCCGUAGCCUGCCCCUGCGGUCACUCGCUCACGGUCGCAGGACCCUCAUCGGGGCGAGAACCAACCCUCCACACACACACACCCGCCCGGGAGCGAGAGACCCGGGGGACACGGACACUGGUGUGUGGUUGGGUGUAAUUAGCGCGGGCCGCGCGCAAUGGAGCAAGCGAGGGGGAAGGGGAGAAAAGGAGAGCGAGCGAGAGUUUAAAAAAAAAAAGAUUCUAGGGAGAGAGGGAACGGGCCGCGAGACGGAACGACUGUCUGUCUGUCUGCUCGCCCUAGAUGCCCCAGCUGCCAGGCCCCCGCCGCAGUCAAGAAUUCACACAAAAUGGCGGCUCGGUCCCAAUGAGCCGAGAGGCUGAAGCGGGAGGAAGGGUGAGGUGGGAGGGGGAACGCGGAGGCCGAGGCCCCGUCACGUGGAGGAUUGCAAAGUCCGCUUGCCCGAAGGCCGGCGAAAAGAGCCGAACGGAGAGGGCGAGGCCGAGGGAAGGCGGAAAAAGCCGAGAGAAACAGCGGGAAACGAGAGGAGGCUGGGACGAGCCGGAAACAGCCGAAAGUGGCCUGGGCCCCGGAGGAGCGUGAAGCCGAAGGGAGUUGGGAAGAGCCUAAGGGUCAGUCCCCCGUGAAGAAUGGUGAGAACAGUUUCUGUCUUCAUGGAACCUAAUAACCGACAAUGCCCUGACUCCUGGGAUGGCACAAGAACGGGCUCUUUGCACCAUGGAUGAGGAGGUCUUCACAGAGAAGAUACUCUGCAGAAUAUGGAAGAAAUACCAGCACCAGCACCUGGGGAAGAAAGGAGGAGACCAUUGGCCAAAGAGAGGCAUUUACAUUGUGUCAGACCCUGCUGACUGCCAACCAAUAGCUAUUUCACCCCUUUCUCCUUGCUAAUCCAACCCUGAAUUUACUGGGGAGGUGAGAGGUAAUAACGUCCAGGCUAGGAGUUGAAUCACUGGUCUACCUGGUUCUCAAGGGGAUGAUGUCGCCCCCUUGAGGACAAUUUGGAAAUUAUCGAAGGAAAUUAAUGAGUGGUUUUUGGUUAUCAACUGGUUCUCUCAAGAGGACAGUAUUGUUCCCUUGGGGGCAUUUUGAAAAUUUGCUUUUUUGGGGCCGGCCCCAUGGCUCAC